AAGCGCACAAUUCAGUUUUGCAUAUGAAAAGUUUGACGUAUCCCGUGUGGUCAUUUUUUUCUUUUAAUGUACAAGAAUAGAGGUGUAGAGUUAAGAUCAAGCAGCCAAAAGUUACCUGUGAAUUAGUUUGUGAUGUAUUAUGGAUGCAUGGAUCUUCAACGAAGAACUUAUCUUACGUGAAGCUUCAGAAAAGAACGCCAAAAAAGAGUCUCAACGUCUUUGAAUUUGAAUUAUGAUUCUACGGCAUGAGAAACUCAAUAGUGUUUUCUGGCUGAAUCCGCCACGAGAAUCAAACUGAAGAGAAUUUGACAGCCUCUAUGUCCUAAUAUCAUCC